GGACGGAUGGCCGAGUGGUCUAAGGCGAGUGGCUCAAGUCCACUUCUCGAAAGAGGCGCGGGUUCGAACCCCGUUCCGUUCA